GGACGAACGCUGGCGGCGUGCUUAACACAUGCAAGUCGAACGCUGAAGCCUAGCUUGCUGGGUGGAUGAGUGGCGAACGGGUGAGUAACACGUGAGUAACCUGCCCCCUUCUUUGGGAUAACGCCCGGAAACGGGUGCUAAUACUGGAUAUUCACUGGUCUUCGCAUGGGGGUUGGUGGAAAGGUUUUUUCUGGUGGGGGAUGGGCUCGCGGCCUAUCAGCUUGUUGGUGGGGUGAUGGCCUACCAAGGCUUUGACGGGUAGCCGGCCUGAGAGGGUGACCGGUCACAUUGGGACUGAGAUACGGCCCAGACUCCUACGGGAGGCAGCAGUGGGGAAUAUUGCACAAUGGGCGAAAGCCUGAUGCAGCGACGCCGCGUGAGGGAUGGAGGCCUUCGGGUUGUAAACCUCUUUCGCUCAUGGUCAAGCCGCAACUUGGGGUUGUGGUGAGGGUAGUGGGUAAAGAAGCGCCGGCUAACUACGU
rnacentral:rRNA from 3 species